rnacentral:RNase_P_RNA from 2 species
GCAGAUCCAAGGUCGCAAUACUCGCCACACACAGGCUACCGGUUCAUUAUGUGCCGUUCACCUAUCCUUGCGAGUGGGCCAAGGUCUGAGUAUUCUAAUCCCAGUUGAUCGACUCCAGAUGGGUCCGAACACCAUCGUACUGCGCUGCGUAUCAGCAAAUCAAGCAAUUCCGCAGAGCCCCGCGGCUCAGGCUCUCACCGGGUUGACCAAAGACCCCUCUUUAUGGGCGAGGAAGACGGUUGAUUGCUUUGGGAUGCGUAGCAGGGAUUGGGCGGGUUGUUCUUUUCCGUUGGUCUGUCUCUCACCUCUGCUCGGCGUCCACCGGCCUUUAUCCCGUAAGGGAAGGCCUUCUAUCGCACUUGCUGCUUUAGAGAACUUAGAAGACAAAGUGAAUUUUCACUGCGUUUUCGUAUCUAUGUGCCACUCGUCCGUGCCAUGAACAUACUUGAUUAACAGAGCCUCCUGACUCCUGACUCCUAAGUCCUGAGGCUUCACCUGUUAUUCAAACUUCAUGGUUUAGGGUCCGUAUCCUUAUAACCAAAUUGCCCUUCAAGGGAGUCAACACCUGAAGGGUAGGAUAUAUGGACCGGGCUCUGAGUAGGGACGAGAGUCGCGGAUAGGGCAUGUACCGGCAGACUUGCUGAGACAUGAAGGCUAACUGGAGACGACUCGCCCUUUGGUGCAAUUUGUGACGCAUCAGCUAUCCUCGUUGUUCUGAUGUAACUCGAUUCAGACUACUCAGGGUCUGC